AUUGAACGCUGGCGGCAUGCUUUACACAUGCAAGUCGAACGGCAGCGCGGGCUUCGGCCUGGCGGCGAUUGGCGAACGGGUGAGUAAUGCAUCGGAACGUGCCCAGUAGUGGGGCAUAGCCCGGCGAAAGCCGGAUUAAUACCGCAUACGACCUGAGGGUGAAAGCGGGGGACCGAAAGGUCUCUCGCUAUUGGAGCGGCCGAUGUCGGUUUAGCUAGUUGGUGGGGUAGAGGCUUACCAAGGCGACGAUCCGUAGCUGGUCUGAGAGGACGACCAGCCACACUGGGACUGAGACACGGCCCAGACUCCUACGGGAGGCAGCAGUGGGGAAUUUUGGACAAUGGGGGCAACCCUGAUCCAGCCAUGCCGCGUGCGGGAAGAAGGCCUUAGGGUUGUAAACCGCUUUUGUUCGGGAAGAAAUACUCUGGGCUAAUACCCCGGGGGGAUGACGGUACCGGAAGAAUAAGCACCGGCUAACUACGUG
rnacentral:rRNA from 1 species